GCCUUGGGGUCCACAACUUCUUCCUGCCAGCUGUCCCCGGCAGCCAUGUUGGUGAGGUUACGGCUGGCGGCACGAUCCUCGUAGUCCGCCGCAGAGACCCAGACAGCUGGGAUUGCCUGACGUCGCGGCAUACUGCCUCAUCGCAUCAGAGCCUGAACUAGAUCAGAGUGCUCUGAACGCACAAAUUCAAUGAAGGGGAGAUUGGUUGGGAGGUCCCCGGAAUAAGGAUCUUGUAGGGCCUGUACCAGUUCCAGAAGUCAGGCAGGUCUAAAUGAAGAAAAAAUGAAAGGACCUAAAAUCAUCCAGCCUGUGAGAAGAAUGGCUCUGAAACCAACAAUUGAUGAUGCAAUACUCAACAACAGAUGGCCAGCAUGUCUUCUGCUUUGAGGACAAUGGAAUUUGAACCUUCAAAUCCAAGAGUUAAGGAUCAUUUCUUGACCUGUUCAGGGCCUGGCCCCAGGGAGUAUAACAGAAAGAAGAGAAAGAAAGCAUAUCCAGCUUGUCUGUGGCUGCAGUACUCUCUGUUUUUCCUCAAUGUGUAGCACUGCCCUAGAAGGGAGCUUUGCUGGUCAGUUGGAGAGUUCCUGAAAUCCAGUCUACUUCAGCCCCUUGAGACCUGGGACCCUGCCUUCUCCACCAUUGGGUUGGGCAUAGCCCUUCUCUGUUUCAACUCCUGUUUUCAAAUUAGCCUGUUGUGUUUUCCAUUUAAUGCUUGCUGGCUCUUUUGGGAUCGCCUGUUCUCAGGUGUGUCUGAUGCCCUGUUGUUUUCCUCUGCUCCCUCCCACACAAGUAAGUAACACCUCGCAGGUCUUUGAGCCAGCGGUGGUUCUGAGACAGGGGAACUGAAGGUGAUGCAGACAGGCUGAGUCCAAGGACCCACAGAAGAGGUACCACAGAACCAGCCAGGAGGAUCCUUGGCUUCAUGCAGAACGGAAAUCAAACAUGAACCAGCAGGAAGUGGAAGCAGUUUAUAAAAUAUAUAUAUAUAAUAGAGAUACAGACAGAGCACCCAGAAGACUCAGAAAAGAAAAGAGAAGGGUUAUAAUCUUAUUUGGGGUCUGAAAUUUAUAUUGGCUAUUGUAGUUUGGUGUACGUGUCCUCUUAGGCAUCUGGUAACUGGUCAGAACAGGGUGGUCAGAGGCUGGGUGUCCUUCAUAAGUCGCUCAAUCCCUGAAGCCAGGGAUUUGGUGUCAAGGUGUUUAGAGUCAUUAGUCUUGGAGAAUGUUCAUAAUGACCCCGCCCUGUCAUUCCUUAGAUGUUAUCUAUUGUACUGGAAGACUCUGAAGAUAAUAUUAUCUCUUUGUCCCUUACCAGGUGGACAUGUGAUAUCUGCAUUAUAAGGCACAUGUAUAGUGAGGUAAGGGUCCUAGUGAGAAUAGAAGCUGGAAAAGGAGCAAAGGGGGAAAAGAACAGCUUUUUUUUUUUUUUA